CCCAGGGACACCGCCAAAUCAUUGUCAGAUUUUACACUCAGGUCUGAGCCGCCGCCAUUAGACCCCCUUUCUUGCUCCUAUCCUCACAGAGGAGGAGCCGAGGUUGCCAGCAGCAUUGUCAUGUCCUGUCCUCGCUACCCAAGGAUCCACCGUGUCUCACAACUCAUUCCAGGCCACUUGGAACCAGAAACCACAGUAAAGGCUCUUACCCAUGUUCCCGCAUCUCUCUGCCUCCUGACUGGCCCUGGUGUUUCCCUGAGUGGCCCCCACCCCUCAGCAUGUCAAGUCCUCUCCUUGGGAUCUCCUAGAAGUUCGUGAUCAUUGAUCGCAGCAACAGAAGCGAGCCAAUGCAGCUGUCCCUGCCCCUGCAGGGACCAGGGUGCCUGGUGAACCACUGAACCACGCCAUCCUGUUCCUCUCAUAUACACGGGCCAGAGAACAAGGGUCAGCUCCCACAGACGUAGACAAAAGCAAUCGGCUCGCAAAAAAUGUACGUGCUGGACUUUUCCAGGGUCACAGAAAGGACACACUGCUACAGCAAUUCCACUGUUAUUUUGAAUUUUCUCUUUAAAGACACUUACAAGUAAAGAAUGGAGAAGACAAUGGCACCCCACUCCAGUACUCUUGCCUGGAAAAUCCCAU